CCUACGGGUGACAGCAGUGAGGAAUAUUGGUCAAUGGGCUUACGCCUGAACCAGCCAAGUCGCGUGAGGGAAGACUGCCCUAUGGGUUGUAAACCUCUUUUGUCAGGGAGCAACGCCGGCUACGUGUAGCCGGACUGAGAGUACCUGCAGAAAAAGCAUCGGCUAACUCCGUGCCAGCAGCCGCGGUAAUACGGAGGAUGCGAGCGUUAUCCGGAUUGAUUGGGUUUAAAGGGUGCGCAGGCGGAAUGCCAAGUCAGCGGUAAAAUCGCGGGGCUCAACCUCGCUCCGCCGUUGAAACUGGCGUUCUUGAGUGGGCGAGAAGUAUGCGGAAUGCGUGGUGUAGCGGUGAAAUGCAUAGAUAUCACGCAGAACUCCGAUUGCGAAGGCAGCAUACCGGCGCCCAACUGACGCUGAAGCACGAAAGCGUGGGUAUCGAACAGGAUUAGAUACCCUUGUAGUC
rnacentral:rRNA from 1 species